CGACCCGUAGCUCAGUGGAGAAAGAGCGUCCUGCUACGAACGGGAAGGGCGGGGGUUCGAGUCCCUCCGGGUCGUCCA
rnacentral:tRNA from 1 species